rnacentral:rRNA from 1 species
CCCUACGGGGCGCAGCAGUGGGGAAUAUUGCACAAUGGGGGAAACCCUGAUGCAGCGACGCCGCGUGAGUGAAGAAGUAUUUCGGUAUGUAAAGCUCUAUCAGCAGGGAAGAAGAAGGACGGUACCUGAGUAAGAAGCCCCGGCUAACUACGUGCCAGCAGCCGCGGUAAUACGUAGGGGGCAAGCGUUAUCCGGAUUUACUGGGUGUAAAGGGAGCGUAGACGGCAGUGCAAGUCCGGAGUGAAAGCCCGGGGCUCAACCCUAGGACUGCUCUGGAAACUGUAAAGCUGGAGUGCGGGAGGGGG